rnacentral:rRNA from 1 species
UACGUAGGGGGCGAGCGUUGUCCGGAAUUAUUGGGCGUAAAGAGCUCGUAGGCGGUCCGUUAAGUCGGAAGUGAAAUCUCAAGGCUCAACCUUGAAACUGCUUUCGAUACUGGCGGACUUGAGGCAGGUAGGGGAAGGUGGAAUUCCUGGUGUAGCGGUGAAAUGCGCAGAUAUCAGGAGGAACACCGGUGGCGAAGGCGGCCUUCUGGGCCUGUUCUGACGCUGAGGAGCGAAAGCGUGGGGAGCAAACAGG